rnacentral:sRNA from 1 species
ACACGGGAAAGGAGGUGGUCCAGCUUUGUAUAGCACUGGGACUCGUGAGGUGGCUGCCCGCUAGCCGCUGUCCUUGACAGUUUUCGUUCGUCGAGACCGUGUGGCAGCGGUGCGGCGAAACUCAAGCAGCCACCCGACCCCCGGGGCGCCGGCCCAGUCCAGCCGGCCCGUGCGAGCACGGUUGUCCCCGGGGGUCGAACCCU